CUACUACUCCCUCCGUUCCAAAAUAGAUGACUCAACUCUGUACUAAAGUUAGUACAAAGUUGGGUCAUAUAUUUUGGAACGGAUAACUCAACUCUGUACUAAAGUUAGUACAAAGUUGGGUCAUAUAUUUUGGAACGGAGGGAGUAUAUC
rfam:Triticum aestivum genome assembly, contig: Triticum_aestivum_CS42_TGACv1_scaffold_002376_1AL